rnacentral:rRNA from 1 species
CAGCCGCCACGGGAAUACGGAGGGUGCAAGCGUUAAUCGGAAUUACUGGGCGUAAAGCGCACGCAGGCGGUCUGUCAAGUCAGAUGUGAAAUCCCCGGGCUUAACCUGGGAACUGCAUUUGAAACUGGCAGGCUAGAGUCUUGUAGAGGGGGGUAGAAUUCCAGGUGUAGCGGUGAAAUGCGUAGAGAUCUGGAGGAAUACCGGUGGCGAAGGCGGCCCCCUGGACAAAGACUGACGCUCAGGUGCGAAAGCGUGGGGAGCAAACAGGAUUAGAUACCCCGGUAGUCCCUGUCUCUUAUAC